AGUGAACGCUGGCGGCGUGCCUAAUACCUGCAAGUCGAACGAAGUGGCGCACGGGUGAGUAAUAUAUAGUUAAUCUGCCCUACACAGAGGAACAACAGUUGGAAACGACUUCUAAUACCUCAUAGUGCAGGAUGAGAAUAUAUCGUAUCAGCUAGUUGGUAAGGUAAUGGCUUACCAAGGCUAUGACGAGUAACUGGUGCGAGAGGAUGAUCAGUAAGAUUGGAACUGAGACACGGUCAAAACUCCUGCGGGAGGCAGCAGUAAGGAAGAGUGCGCAAUGGAGGGAACCCUGACGCAGCAACGCCGCGUGAAGGAUGACACUUUUCGGAGCGUAAACUCCUUUUAUCAGGAAAGCGGUACCUGAUGAAUAAGCACCGGCUAACUCCGUGCCAGCAGCCGCGGUAAUUA
rnacentral:rRNA from 1 species